rnacentral:rRNA from 1 species
AGAGUUUGAUCAUGGCUCAGGAUAAACGCUGGCGGCGUGCCUAACACAUGCAAGUCGAACGUUCUUUCCUUUUUCGGAAGGAGAGGGAGUGGCGGACGGGUGAGUAACACAUGGGUGACCUACCCCACAGUGAGGGAUACCGGCGAGAAAUCGCCGACAAGCCCGCAUAGGCUCUGUCUGGUGGAGCGGACAGCGCAAAGUUUCACGCAAGUGAGACGCUGAGGGAUGGGCCUGUGGCCGAUUAGCUGGUUGGGGGGGUAAGAGCCUCCCAAGGCGACGAUCGGUAGCUGGUCUGAGAGGACGAACAGCCACACUGGGAUUGAGAACGGCCCAGACUCCUACGGGGGGCAGCAGUGAGGAAUUUUCCGCAAUGGACGCAAGUCUGACGGAGCAACGCCGCGUGCAGGAGGACGCUUUUCGGAGUGUAAACUGCUUUUCUGUGGGACGAGAAUGGACGGUACCACAGGAAGAAGCCCCGGCUAACUACGUGCCAGCAGCCGCGGUAAUACGUAGGGGGCGAGCGUUGUCCGGAGUUACUGGGCGUAAAGGGCAUGCAGGCGGUCAGACGCGUUUUGUGUGACAGCGGGUGGCUUCACUCCCCGAGUAUACAAAAGACGGUUUGACUUGAGGACUCGAGAGGGACACGGAAUUCCGGGUGGAGUGGUGAAAUGCGUAGAGAUCCGGAGGAACACCGAAGGCGAAGGCAGUGUCCUGGCGAGUGACUGACGCUGAGGUGCGAAAGCUAGGGGAGCGAACGGGAUUAGAUACCCCCGUAGUCC